rnacentral:rRNA from 1 species
UGAACGCUAGCGGCAGGCUUAACACAUGCAAGUCGAGGGGCAUCGGGAGUAGCAAUACUUGCCGGCGACCGGCGCAAGGGUGCGUAACGCGUGAGCAACAUGCCCGUAUCAGGGGGAUAAUCCAUGGAAACGUGGUCUAAUACCCCAUAGUAAUUAUGUAAGGCAUCUUAUAUAAUUUAAAGCUUUGGUGGAUACGGAUUGGCUCGCGUGACAUUAGCUAGAUGGUAAGGUAACGGCUUACCAUGGCUACGAUGUCUAGGGGUUCUGAGAGGAAGGUCCCCCACACUGGAACUGAGACACGGUCCAGACUCCUACGGGAGGCAGCAGUGAGGAAUAUUGGACAAUGGAUGGAAAUCUGAUCCAGCCAUGCCGCGUGCAAGGAAGACGGCCCUAUGGGUUGUAAACUGCUUUUGUAUGGGAGCAAUAAGGGCUACGCGUAGUCCGAUGAGAGUACCAUACGAAUAAGCACCGGCUAACUCCGUGCCAGCCGCCGC